CUUCUUGACAAUAGAGGGAGAGAAGAGAGAGAUCAGGUGUGUAUGUGUAAGCAAGCAUGUAAUUGAGUAUGUGUGUGUUCAUAUCCACUUCAUAAUGUUCAGAUAUUUUUACAGUUCCCAUACCUUUUUUUGUGACCUGAAGUCCCUGUAGAAUUUAGUACAGCCAUGGUGUUAUGGAGCUGUCUCAGAAUAGCUGUCCAUCUAUAAAUAGUUUGUCCACAAUGAUAAAGCCACACUUAUCUUAAGACGUUUGUUUAUUUCCCUUGGAAAUUGGUCAUUGAGACUGAAUUUGGUCCCUUUAAGCUACCUUUCCCUGCUUUUGAUCAGCUCCUUUUGUUGGUAGUGUUCAAAUUUUGCGAUGAUUGGUCAGGGCCCCUUGGUCUUGUCGCUCCAAGUCUGUGUACUCUGUGAAAAGCCACCUUGUUCACAGUCUAGAUAGGAAGUUUCAAUGCCGAUUGCAUGAAUUCUCUGAUCGUGCCCUCUGGAUUAUUGGAUGCGUCCUCAGGAAUCCCAGAAAAAAAUAGAUUUUCAAGCAUGCUACAACUUUAUGUCUAGAAGUGACUCCAUCACCCUGUUUUCCCUGAGUAGACAAUCUGUGUUGGAAUCGUGUAUUUUUACCUUGGCUGUGAGUGUCUUGUUUUCUCUUUGGAGCGUGAGAAUUUCACUCUGGCUGAACUCCAAACUCCCCCUCAGCCCUGCUACCUCACAACUUUUCCAUUGUUGCAUUCAUUCUGGCCAGAGCACUAGUCUCUACCUCAAUGUUCAUCUUAACAGCGUUCUUUCCCGCCCUCCUUGGAACAUCCAAUUUUAUUUGAUUAAAAAAGUGUAAGUUUCAGAGUGAAAACAUGGAGAAAAAAAACUGGGGACAAUCCGAAACCUGUUUUUGUGUUAUGGCGAGUAAAUGUAUUGGCUGGUAAGAAUUAUGAGUGGCUGGUAGAUUUUUUUUUCAUCUUUCCCGCCUUCCUGUUUCUCUAGUUCUGCCCAUUCUGCCUGCCCUGACCUCGAGCUUGCCUGCCGUCCUGUACCUGCCUGACUCUGACCUGAUCAUGAAUCCUUGCCUGCCCCAUGUUUAUAAUAAAUAAUCUGAGAACUGUACUAUCUGCCUCUCGUGUCUGCAUCUGGAUCAAGUCGUGAUAGGCCACGGAAGAACAGGGACAUUGGAGAUUCUUAUGACAUUGUCAGCAGUUUUUAGUAGAAUUUCCAAAAAGACGAGGGUUGUACAGGCUAAGUAUUUUAAAAUUAG
rnacentral:lncRNA from 1 species